GCCGUUAUAGCUCAGUAGGUAGAGCGCAUCCAUGGUAAGGAUGAGGUCACCAGUUCAACUCUGGUUAACGGCUCCA
rnacentral:tRNA from 2 species